rnacentral:rRNA from 1 species
CCAGCAGCUGCGGUAAUUCCAGCUCCAAUAGCGAAUACUAAUUCUGCUGCAGUUAAAAAGCUCGUAGUUGAACUUUUGGUAGGACGGAUCCGGCCUUUUCAUGUAACGUGGAUUGUUGCUGUGUGUUCGUUUGGCCAUACUCUGUGGAUUUACGUCUGCAGUCUUUCACUGUAAAAAAAUUAGGGUGUUUCAAGCAAAAGAUUUUUGGAAUAUAUUAGUAUGGGAUGAUAAGAUAGGCUCUGAGUGCUAUUUUGUUGGUUUGUACAUUUAGAGAAUGAUUAACAGGGACAGUUGGGGGUAUUCAUAUUUACAUGUCAGAGGUGAAAUUCUUGGAUUUUGGAAAGAUGAACGACUGCGAAGGCAUUUACCAAGGAUGUUUUCAUUAAUCAAGAACGAAAGU